rnacentral:rRNA from 1 species
AUUGAACGCUGGCGGCAUGCUUUACACAUGCAAGUCGAACGGUAACAGGCCGCAAGGUGCUGACGAGUGGCGAACGGGUGAGUAAUGCAUCGGAACGUGCCCAGUCGUGGGGGAUAACGCAGCGAAAGCUGCGCUAAUACCGCAUACGAUCUAUGGAUGAAAGCGGGGGACCGUGAGGCCUCGCGCGAUUUGAGGGGCCGAUGUCAGAUUAGGUAGUUGGUGGGGUAAAGGCUCACCAAGCCAACGAUCUGUAGCUGGUCUGAGAGGACGACCAGCCACACUGGGACUGAGACACGGCCCAGACUCCUACGGGAGGCAGCAGUGGGGAAUUUUGGACAAUGGGCGCAAGCCUGAUCCAGCAAUGCCGCGUGCAGGAAGAAGGCCUUCGGGUUGUAAACUGCUUUUGUACGGAACGAAACGGCUCUCACUAAUACUGGGGGCUAAUGACGGUACCGUAAGAAUAAGCACCGGCUAACUACGUGCCAGCCGCCGCAGUAACAC